GUGACAGAAAGCCAUGCGCUCUGGGCUAUGUGACCACACUGUUUCUUGUGCAUGCAGGAAACCUCCGAAUAUCUACUGUGAUCUUCUCUCACACCACCCACAAGUCCAAGUUCUCCAGCUGGACCUGUCCUCCACAUGGUUACCCCAGUUCCCAAUGCCGAGCACCUCCUUUACCUCCUGCUCCUCGCAUGAGCCCAGUGGGUGGUGUGACGUCAGGUUUUUGUGGCGGGCUGGUAAUGACAGGUCCAGACAAUCAGCGUGUUUGCAACCGUCAGAUCUUUGUUUCUGGUCAGGGUUUUAAAGGAAGAUAUUUUUAUGGUAAUUGUCGCUGGUCUAUUUUACUAUAUAUUUAUGUAAUAAAUCUGUUACUGAUCCAGUUCUCACUGGUACUUUUGUCUGUUGUUGGCUCUUUAUUCACCGAGCAGCUACAUCAUGUGCUGGAGGUUGUCUUCAACGAAUGAAAUAAAAAAAAAGUAAAC